UUACAAAGUUGUCAAACCAUGAUGAGUAAAAAAGAUGCAAGGAAAUUUGUUUACAGCCUUCCAGAUUCAGCAAAUAAUGCUAGAGAAUUAGUUAAUGCAAGACCUAAUGAUGGAAAUGUACCAGGUUCCAUGGCUAGGAGAAUGUCAGAAAGCCUCAUCAUUAGUGUGUUACAGAGGCAGUAAAGGAAAUCGAUGGUGAUGUUUCUUGUGUUGGUGAUGAGAAUCAGAGUGAGGAGGAAAUGGAUGACAGUCAAGACAAUCACUGAUUGCAGUGAACUUGUCGACAUGACAUCAUUUUGGUAAAAAUGACAUAUUUCAUGUGCUGUGAGAGACAGAACGAAGAUUUUUUUUACAGUGAAAAAUGUAUUUUAUUAUUAAACAGAAUAUUAUUUACAGAUUUCAGACAGGCACGUAAU